rnacentral:lncRNA from 1 species
AUGCCUGUUUACUUGAGUAAUAAAGUUUCCUUGGGGGUCGACGAGACCCGCGUGUUUACUUACUCAGGAAGUAGCGCCGCUGAGUUCAGUGGCGCUUGCUCCCAAGGAACUUGUCCGUAUAACGACAGCUUUACUUUCAAGGAACGACCCAUAGCUUCACAUAUCUAUUCAGAAGUAAAUUCAAGGAUUUCAAUCCCGCUUACUCUCACAUGUAGGAAGAUGCAACUGAGGCUGAGUUCGGUGACUUUCCCUAAGUAAGUUUAAAGAAGGAGUAUGAAGUAACAGCCACCGCUCCAGAAGGAGGAUGAGAUAUGUGGAAAGGAAGUUCAGAAGACUCAGAAAUAAAUUCAGGAAUAGCUUAAACUACUGGAGUUUG